GAAGUCUGGAGACAGGUGCUGCAUGGCUGUCGUCAGCUCGUGUCGUGAGAUGUUGGGUUAAGUCCCGCAACGAGCGCAACCCUUGCCUUUAGUUGCCAGCAGUUCGGCUGGCACUCUAAAGGGACUGCCGGUGUUAAACCGGAGGAAGGUGGGGAUGACGUCAAGUCCUCAUGGCCUUUAUGACCAGGGCUACACACGUACUACAAUGGCCGAUACAAAGGGCAGCGACACUGCGAGGUGAAGCCAAUCCCGUAAAAUCGGUCUCAGUCCGGAUUGGAGUCUGCAACUCGACUCCAUGAAGUUGGAAUCGCUAGUAAUCGUGGAUCAGCAUGCCACGGUGAAUACGUUCCCGGGCCUU
rnacentral:rRNA from 1 species